rnacentral:rRNA from 1 species
AACGAACGCUGGCGGCAUGCCUAACACAUGCAAGUCGAACGAGAACUCCGGGUCUUUUGGCGCACGGCUGCGUAAGGCGUGGGGAGCUGCACUUAGGUUCGGCAUACCUCCCCGAAAGGGGUGCUAAUACCAGAUCGUGUCUUAUCCCCAAAGAUUUAUUGCCUUUGGUUGGGCCCUCGUUGGAUUCGGUGGUUGGGAGGGUAAUAGCCUCGCACGGGGCGGAUGCAUAGCUGGUCUGAGAGGAUGAUCAGCCACACUUGGAGUGGGACACGGCCUAGAAUCUUACGCAAUGGAGGAGUGGAUAAUAUAGGAAAACGGAGGAAAGCCUGAUGCAGCAAUGCCGGGUGAGUGAUGAAGGCCGUAGGGAUGUAAAGUUCUUUUACCCGGGAUGAUAAUGACGGUACCGGGUGAAAAAGCCCCGGCUAACUACGUG